UCCUCCAUGGCUUUGUAUGUUUACAGUGAGAAUUGUAUGGCAGGAAUUUUCUAACAUCAAAUAUUUAAACAUCAUUUGCAUCGAUACAGAAGUCCCAAUGGAGACAGAGAUCCUGUGACACAGUUAUUCGGAUGGAAUCCUCGCGGAGCACAGGGGGUUACUCCCGCGAGUACAAAUUGGUGAUGUUAGGAGAGGGAGGUGUGGGCAAAAGUGCCAUAAUCAUGCAGUUUAUAAGUCACAGAUUUCCAGAGGAUCAUGACCCCACUAUCGGUAAGGA